AACGCGAAGAACCUUACCUGGGCUUGAACUGUAGGGGAUCGCUGCAGAAAUGCAGUUUUCCGCAAGGACCGCUACAGAGGUGCUGCAUGGCUGUCGUCAGCUCGUGCCGUGAGGUGUUGGGUUAAGUCCCGCAACGAGCGCAACCCUUAUCAUUAGUUGCCAACGCGUAAUGGCGGGGACUCUAGUGAGACUGCCCGGGUUAACCGGGAGGAAGGUGAGGAUGACGUCAAGUCCGCAUGGCCCUUAUGUCCAGGGCUACACACGUGCUACAAUGGUCGGUACAGAAGGCAGCGAAACCGUGAGGCGGAGCUAAUCCUACAAAGCCGGCCCCAGUUCAGAUUGUAGUCUGCAACUCGACUACAUGAAGUCGGAAUUGCUAGUAAUGGCGUGUCAGCUACAACGCCGUGAAUACGUUCCCGGGUCUUGUACACACCG
rnacentral:rRNA from 1 species